AUGUCAUGUCGAGAGUAUUUUCUCAACAACUCUUUAAACCUCUCACAUGCAUCAGAGACUGCUUCAUCGUCUAAUUGUGUAAGUAAACGAAUUUCAUUUCUGGACUU